rnacentral:rRNA from 1 species
UUGGCUUAGAAGCAGCCAUCAUUUAAAGAAAGCGUAAUAGCUCACUGGUCGAGUCGGCCUGCGCGGAAGAUGUAACGGGGCUAAACCAUGCACCGAAGCUGCGGCAGCGACGCUUAUGCGUUGUUGGGUAGGGGAGCGUUCUGUAAGCCUGUGAAGGUGUGCUGUGAGGCAUGCUGGAGGUAUCAGAAGUGCGAAUGCUGACAUAAGUAACGAUAAAGCGGGUGAAAAGCCCGCUCGCCGGAAGACCAAGGGUUCCUGUCCAACGUUAAUCGGGGCAGGGUGAGUCGACCCCUAAGGCGAGGCCGAAAGGCGUAGUCGAUGGGAAACAGGUUAAUAUUCCUGUACUUGGUGUUACUGCGAAGGGGGGACGGAGAAGGCUAUGUUGGCCGGGCGACGGUUGUCCCGGUUUAAGCGUGUAGGCUGGUUUUCCAGGCAAAUCCGGAAAAUCAAGGCUGAGGCGUGAUGACGAGGCACUACGGUGCUGAAGCAACAAAUGCCCUGCUUCCAGGAAAAGCCUCUAAGCAUCAGGUAACAUCAAAUCGUACCCCAAACCGACACAGGUGGUCAGGUAGAGAAUACCAAGGCGCUUGAGAGAACUCGGGUGAAGGAACUAGGCAAAAUGGUGCCGUAACUUCGGGAGAAGGCACGCUGAUAUGUAGGUGAAGUCCCU